UCCUCGAAUAACUUCUGGCACAGACAUCUGAGGGCAAGACCGUCGAAGAAGAAAAUGUAGCCCUUGAUGUCAUUUAUCGACCACAGGUUAUAAAUUGGCGAUCUGUUGGAUACCGAUCGAGUUAUAGGCAAAACUUGGUGCAAAAAUGAGGAAAAUUUUACAUUUUCUCAAACAGGGUAAGGAACUUGGUUCCUCGAAUAACUUCUGGCACAGACAUCUGAGGGCAUGGCCGUCCAAGAACAUAAUGUAGCCAUUGGUACCACCUAUCGACCACAGGUUAAAGAUUGGCGAUCCGUUGGAUACCAACCGAGUUAUAGGCAAAACUUGAUGCAAAAAUGAGGAAAAUUUUACAUUUUCUCAAACAGGGUAAGGAACUUGGUUCCUCCAAUAACUUCUGGCACAGACAUCUGAGGGCAUGGCCGUCCAAGAAGAUAAUGUAGCCAUUGGUGCCAUCUAUCGACGACAGGUUAAAGAUUGGCGAUCUGUUGGAUACCGACCGAGUUAUAGGGAAAACUUGGUGCAAAAAUGAGGAAAAUUUUACAUUUUCUCAAACAGGGUAGGGAACUCGAAUAACUUCUGGCACAGACAUCUGAGGGCAUGGCCGUUCAAGAAGAAAAUGUAGCCAUUGGUGCCAUCUAUCGACCACAGGUUAAAGAUUGGCGAUCCGUUGGAUACCGACCGAGUUAUAGGCAAAACUUGAUGCAAAAAUGAGGAAAAUUUUACAUUUUCUCAAACAGGGUAAGGAACUUGGUUCCUCGAAUAACUUCUGGCACAGACAUCUGAGGGCAUGGCCGUGCAAGAAGAAAAUGUAGCUAUUGGUGCCAUCUAUCGACCACAGGUUAAAGAUUGGCGAUCCGUUGGAUACCGACCGAGUUAUAGGCAAAACUUGAUGCAAAAAUGAACCAUUUGAAAUUUUCAAAUUUUUAUAUUUUUUUUUAAUUUUUUCUGAUUUUUUUUAAUUUAAAGCAUUAUUUGAGUGAAAAUAAACUUAUUGGCCAAUUGGCAUUAAAAUAAAUCAAUUUAAUUUUUUUUGCAAAAUUUCUCAAAAAAAUGGCAAGGGGUAAGCCUUAUGAAAUUUUCGAGUAGAAAUUUUUUUUGAAAUUUUUUCUGAUUUUUUAUUCUUUUUUUAAUUUAAAGCAAUAUUUAAGUGAAAAGAAACUUACUGCAACAAAUUCCCAUUAAAAUAUAUGACAUUUUUCAAUUUUGCUAAAUUACUCAAAAAUGAGGAAAAUUUUACAUUUUCUCAAAUAGGGUAAGGAACUUGAUUCCUCGAAUAACUUCUGGCACAUGCAUAUGAGGGCAUGGCCGUCCAAGAAGAAAAUGUAGCCAUUGGUGCCAUCUAUCGACCACAGGUUAAAGAUUGGCGAUCCGUUGGAUACCGACCGAGUUACAGGCAAAACUUGGUGCAAAAAUGAGGAAAAUUUUAUAUUUUCUCAAACAGGGUAAGGAACUUGGUUCCUCCAAUAACUUCUGGCACAGACAUCUGAGGGCAUGGCCGUCCAAGAAGAAAAUGUAGCCAUUGGUGCCAUCUAUCGACCACAGGUUAAAGAUUGGCGAUCCGUUGGAUACCGACCGAGUUACAGGCAAAACUUUGUGCAAAAAUGAGGAAAAUUUUAUAUUUUCUCAAACAGGGUAAGGAACUUGGUUCCUCCAAUAACUUCUGGCACAGACAUCUGAGGGCAUGGCCGUCCAAGAAGAAAAUGUAGCCAUUGGUACCACCUAUUGACCACAGGUUAAAGAUUGGCGAUCCGUUGGAUACCAACCGAGUUAUAGGCAAAACUUGAUGCAAAAAUGAAUCCUUUGAAAUUUUCAAAUUUUUAUUUUUUUUUAAUUUUUAUCUAAUUUUUUAUUAUUUUUUUUUAAUUUAAAGCAUUAUUUGAGUGAAAAUAAACGUAUUGGCACCAAUUGGCAUUAAAAUUAAUCAAUUUAAUUUUUUUUGCAAAAUUUCUCAAAAAAAUGGUAAGGGGUAAGCCUUAUGAAAUUUUCGAGUGGAAAUUUUUUUUUAAAUUUUUUCUGAUUUUUUAUUCUUUUUUUAAUUUAAAGUAAUAUUUAAGUGAAAAGAAACUUACUGCAACAAAUUCCCAAUAAAAUAUAUGACAUUUUUCAAUUUUGCUAAAUUACUCAAAAAUGAGGAAAAUUUUAUAUUUUCUCAAACAGGGUAAGGAACUUGAUUCCUAAAAUAACUUCUGGCACAGGCAUAUGAGGGCAUGGCCGUCCAAGAAGAAAAUGUAGCCAUUGGUGCCAUCUAUCGACCACAGGUUAAAGAUUGGCGAUCCGUUGGAUACCAACCGAGUUACAGGCAAAACUUGAUGCAAAAAUGAGGAAAAUUUUACAUUUUCUUAAACAGGGUAAGGAACUUGAUUCCUCGAAUAACUUCUGGCACAGACAUCUGAGGGCAUGGCCGUCCAAGAAGAAAAUGUAGCCAUUGGUGCCAUCUAUCGACCACAGGUUAAAGAUUGGCGAUCCGUUGGAUACCGACCGAGUUAUAGGCAAAACUUGAUGCAAAAAUGAGGAAAAUUUUACAUUUUCUCAAACAGGGUAAGGAACUUGAUUCCUCGAAUAACUUCUGGCACAGACAUCUGAGGGCAUGGCCGUCCAAGAAGAAAAUGUAG